rnacentral:rRNA from 1 species
UACGUAGGUGGCAAGCGUUGUCCGGAUUUAUUGGGUUUAAAGGGUGCGUAGGUGGUCUAUUAAGUCAGUGCUGAAAUAUCCCGGCUUAACCGGGAGGGUGGCAUUGAUACUGAUAGACUUGAGUAGAGUUGAGGUAGGCGGAAUUGACGGUGUAGCGGUGAAAUGCUUAGAUAUCGUCAAGAACACCAAUAGCGAAGGCAGCUUGCUAAGCUCUAACUGACACUGAUGCACGAAAGUGUGGGGAUCAAACAGG